rnacentral:tRNA from 15 species
AAAAUCCGUUGACUUUUAAAAUCGUGAGGGUUCAAGUCCCUCUAUCCCCAA